UGAAUUGUAUAAAGUGCAUAUAUAUUUAAGACUGAAGAAGGUAGCAACCUCCACAACAAUGCUGCAGAGGGCCUCCACGUACUAAGAUCAGGCACUAAAUGUUAGAACAUACAAAAAACACAGCAGCCUCACCACGUGACACGUGAUAAACCAGGCAACAAAACCAGCCUCCACUAAGCAAGUCAACAAGAACACAGACGUUUAUGAAAUAUUCAAUUUAAUUAAAGGCUAUUUUUUAUAUAAUACAUUAACUAUGGGCUUUAUUUAAAAAAAAACAACAACAAUCUUUUAGGCCAGUACACGGCACGAACAAAAGACUUCGACCCAAUCAUUACAAAACAAUGGCAUGCCAAACACAUGGAGUGCAACCUACUUUGGUGAUGUAUGCGGUCUACACGAUCAAAUGAAGGCAAGGCUUUCGUCAGGAAACAGAUGAUUGAACUGAUGCAUGAUGGCCUUAAAUUUGGACAUUUUGUCAACAUUUUCAAUUACCCCUGCCCCCCCCCCCCCCUUUUUCGCUGGUGUCAUUUGCGUAUACGUAAUGUUAGGGCUGUGGUCAAACUGUCAACUACUCGUGAAAUCCUUCACAGUAAUGAGAAUGAAAUGAUCCACAGUUCGGUGCUUCUAUUUUAACUUCAAGUCUUAGGAAGAUAAACCCUACUGUAUAUAGUUCAACAUUUAUUUUUGACUUUCCAUAUUGUCAGUCUCAGUCUGUUGUUAUGAAUAUAUAGAGCUAUUUUUUUAUCCAAUAUUCAUUUUUACUUAACCACUAAAAGUAAGUCAAUUCUGCUUCUAAGAAUUUUCAACCUGGAUUAUCUUCCCUGAUACAUGUCAUAAUUAUUGUUUGGAAAAAAUAAUUUACAUAAUUUAAUUAAAAUGCAGUAAUCAUACAUCUGGAGUAUUUAAACAACAAUAAUUGAUCAGUUUAUAAAAAAAACCCACAACAAAAUAAAUAUUUGAUUCAAGUAAUUCAGAGGUUUUAACUUUUUCUAUAUAUACGCUCCAUUUUCACCAGAAAGUCUCUCUUCCAUUCAAUUCUGUUUGUACAUUAUGCACUCCUCAUUAACACUACCUUUGGUGUCACUGGAAGAUUGAAUUUUUGGUAGGACAAUCAAUCUCAAAAAUCAAUCGUUAAUAAGUCCUUCAUUUAUGAUAAUGUUUCAAAUCUGCACAGAAUUAUGUUAAAAAAAAAAAAAAGAUUUUUGAAACACAAACAAUAUAAUAGAAAAACUAAAUUUUCUUUAAAAACAAAAGCACUAUCUAAAUAAUUUUUUGAGAACAAAUGUAUUAAUGCAUAUAAACAUGUAAUUUAUUAUAUAUGCAUGUAUAUAUAGUUUUCUAGCCGUUUAUAUACAGGAAGCCUAUAAGGCCAUAUUGAUUUAUACAGUUCAAGCACAAUCAAUGAUGACUACCUAUAAUGUUCUUUAUAUCUCCAUCAUUUCUAAAUCAUGAUAAAGAAAAUAUAUUUACAGUUCCACAAAGUAUAACUGUUGUACAAAACAAUAAACACCAGAUUCAGAAACUGUCAAAUCUAUUAUAUACGAUUCUUUUUUAAAUAUAUUACAGUCAACCCUGUCUUAAAGCCUGCAUUCUCUAUAUUCAUUGAAAAAAAAAUUGCUCAAUGGAGUGAUGAUUGAAUUCUUUCUUUUGAUUUAGAUAUUUUAUUAAGAGCUACAUGGAAAGUGGCAACUCUCAAGUUGUUGUGUUCCAUAUACAGUUUAGUUUUUAUGGGGAUUUUUACUCAAGGAAGGAGGUCUGAAGUGAUGUUCUAGAAUAUAUAUACCAGCCUCUGUAUGUCUCAUCAAGGGAAUACUUCUGGAAAGACAACUAUACAAACAAUAUGUUAAGUCAGUAGCUAAAAAAAAAAAAAAUACUGGCAAACUAUUUUACUUAAGAGCCCAUUGGAAAACAACUUGGUCCAAAGGAAGCCUUUAAAAAAAAGAAAUUCUAAAUGCAAAACAGGGGGGAGAGGAGUAGAAGGAGGAAGGAGAAAGAAGUUUAUUAAAAAUGACAAUACAAAUGAAGACAAAUAAUUUAGUAAUGGGAAGGGUAACAACCUAUCCCUGUCACACAGUCAGGAUAAAUAAUCCUGUACAGAAUUAUAGCAUAUUAAACUUCAGGGUAAUACAUUAACGUACAAAAUGUGAGCUCAUUAUACAUGGUGAAUACAAUAAGUUGUGCAAUAGACUAAAUGAUGGACUAGUAGUGAUACAUCCUUGAGAAAUAGUUUGUCUUUUUUUAAACUAAGCUUCAAUGUCAAGAGAAGAGGACUACCCUUAUUUCUUUGACCCUUUCAACUUUUAAAUUGGUAGACCUUAAGUAACUAUUAUAUAAUUAUGCCACUGUCAUGUUGACUAUUCAAUUAUAUUCUAUGUGGACCUCUUGUAAUGAAUCAAAUGUCUCUGUUGAACCUAUACUCUUCAAUCACCUCAUAAGCCAACUAUAAAUCAGACUAAACAUAAUUAUUUUUUUCUUGGACCUUCACAUGAUGCAGUAUCAAAAUGUUUAUUCUUCAGUCCAGAGAUAAAUUCCUUCCAUUCUUCAUCUUCAAAUAGUAUUUUCUAUUAUAUAUUCAAUUUCACUCCAACUAUAAAAGUUGCAAAGACAUUAACCUCUUGUAAAUAUAUAAAGACCAAAAAUAUGGUAACUCUACAUAGAAGUAAGAUGAACCACUCAUAUGACCAACAAAGGAUGCUUGGUUGCUUACCAGACAAAGUUCAGUUAUAUAGAACACAUAGGUUACUAACUUUCCUGCUUUACAGAAAUUUAGGCAGUGGUUGAUUAAUUUUUAUAAAACUAAGGAAAAGCAUUAUUUCUACUAUUUCCUGAAAACCUCUACCACUAGGAUUUGAAAACACUUUUUCUUAAUAUGUUCAUCUUUUUCUUUACUUUUUCAAAAUUCUCUAGUAGUCAGAACAAUGUUCACUUGUACCACAAGGACAGCUUAACAAAUUUCUAAUCAUGCACCCACUGUGUUUAAGAAUAAUUUACCAGUUGGUGAUGUAUUAAUCCAACAAACUGACAAGAACUUUCAAAAUGAGCAUGUAUAUUUUAUUUAUCAGCCGACAUUCAACAGUAAUGUACACUAAAUAUAAGGCAAAUUUGUUAGUAGGUUGGGAUGAUAUCAUGACCAUAGCAUUUAGUCCUCAAGAGGAAACAAUAAACAAAGAACAUUUGGAUGAAAUGCAACAAAUUAAAUGGACACCAAACAAUACUGUUGUAUUAUAUAUAUAUAUAUAUAUAUAUA